rnacentral:rRNA from 1 species
GACGAACGCUGGCGGCGUGCCUACUACAUGCAAGUCGAACGCAGUGGGGACGGGUGAGUAACACGUGGGUAACCUCCCAUCAGAGGGGAUAACACUUGGAAACAGGUGCUAAACUGAUACUGAUGGAUGUACCCGCGGUGCAUUAGCUAGUUGUGGGGGUAACGGCUCACCAAGGCCACGAUGCGUCGCCGACCUGAGAGGGUGAUCGGACACAUUGGAAAUGAGACACGGCCCAGACUCCUACGGGAGGCAGCAGUAGGGAAUCUUCGGCAAUGGGCGCAAGUCUGACCGAGCGACGCCGCGUGAGUGAAGAAGGUUUUCGGAUCGUAAAACUCUGUUGUUAGAGAAGCGGUAUCUAACCAGAAAGCCACGGCUAACUACGUGCCAGCAGCCGCGGUAAUAC